UGGCUGUUCAACCUGACUUUCAGGAUGUAUUGUAGAAUUAAGAGCUACUCAACGUCAGGCUCUUCUGAGAAGGCAGGGAUCCCGGUCUGCUGCCAAAAUGAGCUCUCCCUGAUGGCUGUGUGGCGGGAGAGGCUGAGCAAAUGAACAGAGAGCGGAAAGUCGGAAACGCGCGGAGAUGGCAGCCGGCAAGACUCACCAGGUUUUCAACCUCUGCAGCCUGAAUGAGAGGAUUUCGUACACUGACGGAGCUGAAAGACGAAAUGGUGGUCGUGCUUCUACAUAAGAAAGGCGGUGAGAAGAAAAAUCUGGUUUACCUUCGCAUGCCUGGUGCUUAGCAUGGUGCCAGUCACAUCAGAGGCACUUAAUAAAUAUUUGUGGGAUAA
rnacentral:lncRNA from 1 species